CUGGGAUGACGGGUGACGGUCUCGACCCUUCGAGACCGUCUCGCGGAGACCAAGUUGUUAGGAACACCCAUAUUUUGCUACAUCUAGGAAUAAAUGUUAGAAAAUGGGAGAAACCGAUAUCUUUCUAUUGACUUUCGAAAACCUUAGAAAUGCAGAUGUUUAAAUAUUCCCAGUGUUACGUACAAUGAAGAACUAGCUGACUGUACGCUUUUUUUAUCGUUAAAUAUGUUGUCAGGCAGUCUUAAUACAUUUUCAAAAACCUUGACAUACUGUAGCGAGCGAUAUUACGCAUUUGCUAGAAUUUUUUGUCAGCCCUGAAUAAAGCUGAAACAUAGGUAGUUGAUUUUUUUAGUUUCUUUACAUAGCACUACGAUUAAUUGGAAAUCUCAACACCAGAAUAUGUUCAGCACGGGAACAGUUUUUAAAGACAACAUCAUCAUCCCAUCGGCGUUUUACUCGUAAAUCAGAUUUUUGAGCUUUCCCAGCAUAAUUUAACAAUGGAUUACCACUUAAAAUAUUCUCCAUUCUUAUCCGUUCUUCUUCUUGUCUGAGUUCCAUUUCCUAAACAAGAUUAAUAUAGAAAAAAUACACUUAAAUGAUACAUGGUA